UUGUAGAAUAGGUUUAUGCAUGUUUGGUUGAGAUUGGAGGCAUAAAUGCAUAAGGGAGCUGAGUUUCUGCCAUUCUGGGAGAAACCAGGUUCGGCAGCCGAAGGAACUUUCGGCCGCCGAACAUGCUUGUGGAGGCAGCCUUCGGCUGCCGAAGCUUGCCCCCGAAAGGAGACUUUCGUCUCUGUCUGGCACUUUCGGCCGCCGAAGGUGCCGCCGAACAUGC
rnacentral:lncRNA from 1 species